rnacentral:rRNA from 1 species
UACGUAGGGUGCGAGCGUUGCCCGGAAUCACUGGGCGUAAAGGGCGUGUAGGCGGUCCGCUAAGUCUGAUGUGAAAGCCCGGGGCUCACCCCCGGAAGGGCAUUGGAAACUGACGGACUCGAGUCCCGAAGAGGAGGGUGGAAUUCCUGGUGUAGCGGUGAAAUGCGUAGAUAUCAGGAGGAACACCGGUGGCGAAGGCGGCCCUCUGGACGGUGACUGACGCUGAGACGCGAAAGCGUGGGGAGCAAACAGG